UUAAAUUUUAUUUAUUAAUUUUAUUUAUUUAAUUUAAUUUAUUUAAUAAAAAUAAUUUUAAAAUUUUAAGUUUAAGUAUUUUAUAAAGAAAAAAUAAUUUUAAUUAUAGUUAAUUUGUAUUGUAAAAGAAAAUUGAAAUAAUUUGAAAAAUUUUUAUUUUUAAAGAAAAUUUAAUUUAUUGUACCUUGUGUAUCAGGGUUUAUUAAAUAAAAAAUUAUUAUAUUAAUUUUUCUCGAAUUUUAAAGAUUUAAUUAUAUAUAAAAGUUACUGUGGAAUAAUUAUUUUUAAUAUAUAAUUAGAAAUGAAAUGUUAAUCGUUUUAAAAUAUAUCUAGUUUUUUAAGAAAUAAAUUUAAUUUAGAUUUAUAAAUUUAAAUUAUUUAAUUGUAAAAAUAAUUUAUUUUAUAAAAUUAAUAUUUUAAGGGAUUAGCUUUAAAAUAAAUUUUUAAAUUUUAAAUUAAUUAUUUAAUAAAUAUAAGCUUAAAAAUAGCUAUUAUUAAUAAAUUUGUUAUAAUUUAUUUUAAAAAUUUAAUUAUUUAAUAUAAAAUUAAAUUAUUUAUUAAAAUAUAAAUUUUAAUAAUAAAAAUUUAUAAAUUAUGAUAAAAUUAGUAUAUAAAAUUUUUAUAAAUAAUUAUUUAUAAAAGGUUUAAAUAAGGAAUUCGGCAAAAUAUAUAUUCACCUGUUUAUCAAAAACAUGUCUUUUUGAAUUAAAUUUAAAGUCUAACCUGCCCACUGAUAUAAAUUAAAGGGCCGCAGUAUUUUGACUGUGCGAAGGUAGCAUAAUCAUUAGUCUUUUAAUUGGAGGCUUGUAUGAAUGGUUGAAUGAGAUAUAUACUGUCUUUUUUAAAAUUAUAUAGAAUUUUAUUUUUUAGUUAAAAAGCUAAAAUAAAAUUAAAGGACGAGAAGACCCUAUAGAUCUUUAUUUUUGUUAUUUAUAAAUUAAAAAGAAUUUUAAAAUUUAUAAUUUAAUAAAAAAUUUUAUUGGGGUGAUAUUAAAAUUUAAAAAACUUUUAAGAUUUAUUAACAUAAAUAUAUGAAUAAAUGAUCCAGUUUUAUUGAUUAAAAAAUUAAGUUACCUUAGGGAUAACAGCGUAAUUUUUUUUUAGAGUUCAUAUCGACAAAAAAGAUUGCGACCUCGAUGUUGGAUUAAGAGUUAUUUUUAGGUGUAGAAGUUUAAAGUUUAGGUCUGUUCGACCUUUGAAUUCUUACAUGAUCUGAGUUCAAACCGGCGUAAGCCAGGUUGGUUUCUAUCCUUAAUUAAUUAUUAUAUUAUAGUACGAAAGGACCUAAUAUAAAAAAUAUAAAUUUUAAUAAUAUGAUUAAUAUUAAUAUUAGAUA
rnacentral:rRNA from 1 species